GUGUCAGCCGCCGCGGUAAUACGUAGGGAGCAAGCGUUGUUCGGAUUUACUGGGCGUAAAGGGCGCGUAGGCGGCAAUUCAAGUCAUCUGUGAAAUCUCCGGGCUUAACUCGGAACGGUCAGAUGAUACUGCUUUGCUAGAGUGCGGAAGGGGCAAUCGGAAUUCUCGGUGUAGCGGUGAAAUGCGUAGAUAUCGAGAGGAACACCUGAGGUGAAGACGGGUUGCUGGGCCGACACUGACGCUGACAGCGCGAAAGCCAGGGGAGCAAACGGGAUUAGAUACCCUGGUAGUCC
rnacentral:rRNA from 1 species